ACUUUGACAGGAUUGCUUGAAAGAGUUGGAACGAGACAUGGAACUCUCCUUUGCUGUUCAGCGAAGUAUUGAAAAGUGCUGCGGGAUAUGUAUGGAUACCAUAAUGGAAAAAGAACCACCAAAUGAAAGACGAUUUGGGAUAUUAGAGAAAUGUAAUCACAUUUUUUGUCUCAGCUGUAUUCGUAAGUGGAGGAGCACCAAACAGUUCUCUUCAAAAAUUAUCAGAGCUUGUCCAGAAUGCCGUGUUCCGUCUGACUUUGUCACACCAAGCCAAUACUGGGUGGAAUCAGAAGAAGAAAAAAAGAAAAUUAUAGAUGAUUAUAAAAAAGCAUUAAGUAUAAAGCCUUGUAAAUACUUUAAACAAGGGCAGGGGGUGUGUCCAUUUGCUGGAGCUUGUUUCUAUCUACACGCAUAUCCUGAUGGCAGGAAAGCUGACCUUCCGCCUCCCAGACCUCGUCAUCAGAGGAAUCGUGAUAGAGAUCUCGAGUCAAUUGAUGUAACAGUAGCUCUGCAUUGAAGCACUAAGAGGCCUAAGAUGUGGUCUGUGCAUUCUGAGAAGUCGUAACAUUUAUAGUAAGGUGAACAUUUGAAGCCUGUGGUGAUGGCAACUGCAGAAAGCCCCCAAAGCAGCUGAAAAGAUUUUAGGGAAAAAAAGCAUCUGUCCUGUUUGGGAGAUUUUGUGGUCUGCAAGAGAAUGCUUUUGUGGGAUUUCUUUGACCUUCAUGAUGAUCAGAUACUCUUCCACCUGGAUCUUGAAGAUGUUUUAGACUUAUUUACAGAUUCUGACGAUGAUUCAGAGUAUAGUGAUUUAGACGAGUAGAAAAU
rnacentral:misc_RNA from 1 species